rnacentral:rRNA from 1 species
GAUGAACGCUGGCGGCGUGCUUAACACAUGCAAGUCGAACGAUGAAGCCCAGCUUGCUGGGUGGAUUAGUGGCGAACGGGUGAGUAACACGUGGGUAACCUGCCCUUAACUCUGGGAUAAGCCUGGGAAACUGGGUCUAAUACCGGAUAGGAGCGUCCACCGCAUGGUGGGUGUUGGAAAGAUUUAUCGGUUUUGGAUGGACUCGCGGCCUAUCAGCUUGUUGGUGAGGUAAUGGCUCACCAAGGCGACGACGGGUAGCCGGCCUGAGAGGGUGACCGGCCACACUGGGACUGAGACACGGACCAGACUCCUACGGGAGGCAGCAGUGGGGAAUAUUGCACAAUGGGCGCAAGCCUGAUGCAGCGACGCCGCGUGCGGGAUGACGGCCUUCGGGUUGUAAACCUCUUUCAGUAGGGAAGAAGCGAAAGUGACGGUACCUGCAGAAGAAGCACCGGCUAACUACGUG